rnacentral:rRNA from 1 species
GACGAACGCUGGCGGCGUGCUUAACACAUGCAAGUCGAACGGAAAGGCCCUGCUUGCAGGGUACUCGAGUGGCGAACGGGUGAGUAACACGUGGGUGAUCUGCCCUGCACUUCGGGAUAAGCUUGGGAAACUGGGUCUAAUACCGGAUAGGACCGCACUUUAGUGUGUGUGGUGGAAAGUUUUUUCGGUGUAGGAUGAGCUCGCGGCCUAUCAGCUUGUUGGUGGGGUAAUGGCCUACCAAGGCGGCGACGGGUAGCCGGCCUGAGAGGGUGUACGGCCACAUUGGGACUGAGAUACGGCCCAGACGCCUACGGGAGGCAGCAGUGGGGAAUAUUGCACAAUGGGCGCAAGCCUGAUGCAGCGACGCCGCGUGGGGGAUGAAGGCCUUCGGGUUGUAAACUCCUUUCGCUAGGGACGAAGCUUUUUGUGACGGUACCUAGAUAAGAAGCACCGGCUAACUACGUG